CUGGCUCAGGAUGAACGCUGGCGGCGUGCUUAACACAUGCAAGUCGAACGAAGCACUUUAUUUGAAACCUUCGGGUAGAUUAUUCUGUGACUUAGUGGCGGACGGGUGAGUAACGCGUGGGUAACCUGCCUCAUACACCGGGAUAACAGUUGGAAACGGCUGCUAAUACCGGAUAAGCAUACAGUACCGCAUGGUACAGUGUGAAAAACUCAGGUGGUAUGAGAUGGACCCGCGUCUGAUUAGCUAGUUGGUAAGGUAACGGCUUACCAAGGCGACGAUCAGUAGCCGACUUGAGAGAGUGAUCGGCCACAUUGGGACUGAGACACGGCCCAAACUCCUACGGGAGGCAGCAGUGGGGAAUAUUGCACAAUGGGGGGAACCCUGAUGCAGCG
rnacentral:rRNA from 1 species